CGUUGGCGGCGCGCUUACACAUGCAAGUCGAGCGAGAAAGCCCCUUCGGGGGUGAGUACAGCGGCGCACGGGUGAGUAACACGUGGACAAUCUACCUCGAAGUGGGGGAUAACUGCGCGAAAGUGGGGCUAAUACCGCAUAAUCUUCUUUUGCCGAGGUGAAAGGAGGAAAGGUUACCGCUUUGAGAUGAGUCUGCGGCCCAUCAGCUAGUUGGUAGGGUAACGGCCUACCAAGGCGACGACGGGUAGCUGGCCUGAGAGGGUAACCAGCCACACUGGAACUGGAACACGGUCCAGACUCCUACGGGAGGCAGCAGUGGGGAAUCUUGCGCAAUGGGGGAAACCCUGACGCAGCGACACCGCGUGGGUGAAGAAGGCCUUCGGGUUGUAAAGCCCUGUCGCAGAGGAAGAAAAGGCAACUUGACGGUACUCUGUGAGAAAGCACAGGCUAACUCCGUGCCAGCAGCCGCGGUAACACGGAGUGUGCGAGCGUUGUUCGGAAUCACUGGGCGUAAAGCGAUUGUAGGCGGAUUAUCAAGUCGGUUGUGAAAUCCCGGGGUUCAACCCCGGACUGGCAUCCGAAACUGAUAGUCUUGAGUCCGGUAGAGGGCAGUGGAAUUCCCGGUGUAGAGGUGAAAUUCGUAGAUAUCGGGAAGAACACCAGUGGCGAAGGCGACUGCCUAGGCCGAGACUGACGCUGAGAAUCGAAAGCGUGGGGAGCGAACAGGAUUAGAUACCCUGGUAGUCUACGCCGUCGACGGUGGGCACUAGGUGGUGCGGGUGUCUGACCCCUGCGCCGGCGGAGUUAACGCAUUAAGGUGCACCCGACUGGGGAGUACG
rnacentral:rRNA from 1 species